rnacentral:rRNA from 1 species
UACGGAGGGUGCGAGCGUUGUCCGGAAUCAUUGGGCGUAAAGGGCGCGUAGGUGGCGGGACAAGCGUGCGGUGAAAGCUCGGGGCUCAACCCCGAGUCGGCCGUGCGAACUGUUUUGCUGGAGCACUGUAGAGGCAGGCGGAAUUCCGGGUGUAGCGGUGGAAUGCGUAGAGAUCCGGAAGAACAUCAGUGGCGAAGGCGGCCUGCUGGGCUGUUGCUGACGCUGAGGCGCGACAGCGUGGGGAGCAAACAGG